rnacentral:rRNA from 1 species
CGGAGGGUGCAAGCGUUAUCCGGAUUCACUGGGUUUAAAGGGUGUGUAGGCGGGUAAUUAAGUCAGUGGUGAAAUCUCCGGGCUCAACCUGGAAGCUGCCAUUGAUACUAUUUAUCUUGAAUAUCGUUGAGGUUGGCGGAAUAUAUCAUGUAGCGGCGAAAUGCAUAGAUAUGAUAUAGAACACCGAUUGCGCAGGCAGCUGGCUAAACGAUGAUUGACGCUGAGGCACGAAAGCGUGGGGAUCAAACAGGAUUAGAUACCCUGGUAGUCCACGCCCUAAACGAUGAUUACUGGACGUUCGCGAUAUACAGUGAGCGUCUGAGCGAAAGCAUUAAGUAAUCCACCUGGGAAGUACGUCCGCAAGGAUG